AGAUUGAACGCUGGCGGCAGGCCUAACACAUGCAAGUCGAGGUGGCAGCGACGGGUUACUUCGUACCGUGGGUGGCGAGCGG
rnacentral:rRNA from 1 species